rnacentral:pre_miRNA from 1 species
AAAAAGGCAAACCCUGGGUUUCCGUGUCCAACUUUGAUUGUCCGUCUUAUAUGAAAUUUUUUUAUAAUUCGUAUUUUCAUUGUUGUUAGAUGAUAAAACAUGAUUAAUAUUUUAUGCGUGACUUGUCUUUUUAUUUUUUUCAUAAUUUUUUCAAAUAAGACGAACGGUCAAAUGUUGAGCACAGAAACCAGGGUUUGUCUUUUU